ACGAACUCAUAAGCCUCCUGGAGAUGUUUGAUCUGUUGAGUACGGGACACUCUACGGGAUUCAGCCAGCCUCUCCACUUCUUCAAGGAAUCCGGUCACACUUCCAGUGCCAUCAAAGGAAAUGUUCCACUUGUGUACAGGGACAGUCGGUACUGUUGACCGGGACUCCGGUUCCGAUCUGGCAGGUGUUGUGAUGACUGGUCGGUCAGAACUUAUCCAAGGUGCAGGUGUACCAGUACGUGAGACAUCCACUGCUACAGGAGGAUCGACACCAUCUCCCAAGUCGA